AUGUCUACACUGUACAGAAAGGCAGAUUUACCAAGGCCAGCGAAGGUGAUUGGUGCAAUGCCCCUUGGGCCCAAACAUUGCUGCCAUCGGAAUUCAGCGGGUGCGCGUCUCGGACACGAUAACUAUGAGGACCACGCUAAUCUGCAUAUGUUGUCAGGUCCAACCUUUUCCUUUGCAGCGAAUUGCAUGAUUUGCAACAAGCAAAUAGCGAAGCUAUUAGCAUUUGAGUGA
rnacentral:lncRNA from 1 species